UACGUAGGGGGCAAGCGUUGUCCGGAAUCAUUGGGCGUAAAGCGCGUGUAGGUGGGAGGCCAAGUCUGUGGUGAAAGCGCCCGGCUCAACUGGGCAGAGUCCAUGGAAACUGGUCACCUGGAGGACGGUAGAGGCGAGUGGAAUUCCCGGUGUAGCGGUGAAAUGCGCAGAUAUCGGGAGGAACACCUAUGGCGAAGGCAGCUCGCUGGGACGUUACUGACGCUGAGGCACGAAAGCGUGGGGAGCAAACAGG
rnacentral:rRNA from 1 species